AGCGGCGAGCGAACGGGGAGCAGCCCAGAGCCUGAAUCAGUGUGUGUGUUAGUGGAAACGUCUGGAAAGGCGCGCGAUACAGGGUGACAGCCCCGUACACAAAAAUGCACAUGCUGUGAGCUCGAUGAGUAGGGCGGGACACGUGGUAUCCUGUCUGAAUAUGGGGGGACCAUCCUCCAAGGCUAAAUACUCCUGACUGACCGAUAGUGAACCAGUACCGUGAGGGAAAGGCGAAAAGAACCCCGGCGAGGGGAGUGAAAAAGAACCUGAAACCGUGUACGUACAAGCAGUGGGAGCACAGAGCAAUCUGUGUGACUGCGUACCUUUUGUAUAAUGGGUCAGCGACUUAUAUUCUGUAGCAAGGUUAACCGAAUAGGGGAGCCGAAGGGAAACCGAGUCUUAACUGGGCGUUAAGUUGCAGGGUAUAGACCCGAAACCCGGUGAUCUAGCCAUGGGCAGGUUGAAGGUUGGGUAACACUAACUGGAGGACCGAACCGACUAAUGUUGAAAAAUUAGCGGAUGACUUGUGGCUGGGGGUGAAAGGCCAAUCAAACCGGGAGAUAGCUGGUUCUCCCCGAAAGCUAUUUAGGUAGCGCCUCGUGAAUUCAUCUCCGGGGGUAGAGCACUGUUUCGGCAAGGGGGUCAUCCCGACUUACCAACCCGAUGCAAACUGCGAAUACCGGAGAAUGUUAUCACGGGAGACACACGGCGGGUGCUAACGUCCGUCGUGAAGAGGGAAACAACCCAGACCGCCAGCUAAGGUCCCAAAGUCAUGGUUAAGUGGGAAACGAUGUGGGAAGGCCCAGACAGCCAGGAUGUUGGCUUAGAAGCAGCCAUCAUUUAAAGAAAGCGUAAUAGCUCACUGGUCGAGUCGGCCUGCGCGGAAGAUGUAACGGGGCUAAACCAUG
rnacentral:rRNA from 1 species